AAGUCGUAACAAGGUAACCGUAGGUGAACCUGCGGUUGGAUCAUUAUAAAGAUUCAAAACGUUGGCUGAUGAUUUGACAAGGACCCUCAAAGUCCUGCGUCCCUUCAUCGCAUAGCCUCCGACACCCUUGUGAACCAUUGAAAUGUCUAUUGACGAUAAGAAUCAACAUUCCACAGACCGCGUGCCUGAAUUUCUUGACCAGGUUGCAACUUGUGGGUGCAUGCCUUCAUCUCUUCACGGAGAUUGGGAUUGUUGCGCGGUGAUUAUCGUCAGUCAAGUAAAGAACCACCCUUUUAUAUUGAUAUAAUUCUGAAAUUGAUACGUUUAUAAUAAGAAACAACUUUAGACAACGGAUCUCUUGGCUCUC
rnacentral:misc_RNA from 1 species